GAUGAACGCUGGCGGCGUGCCUAAUACAUGCAAGUCGAGCGAACGGACGAGAAGCUUGCUUCUCUGAUGUUAGCGGCGGACGGGUGUGUAACACGUGGAUAACCUACCUAUAAGACUGGGAUAAUUUCGGGAAACCGGAGCUAAUACCGGAUAAUAUUUUGAACCGCAUGGUUCAAAAGUGAAAGACGGUCUUGCUGUCUCUUAUAGAUGGAUCUGCGCUGCAUUAGCUAGUUGGUAAGGUAACGGCUUACCAAGGCAACGAUGCAUAGCCGACCUGACAGGGUGAUCGGCCACACGGGAACUGAGACACGGUCCAGACUCCUACGGGAGGCAGCAGUAGGGAAUCUUCCGCAAUGGGCGAAAGCCUGACGGAGCAACGCCGCGUGAGUGAUGAAGGUCUUCGGAUCGUAAAACUCUGUUAUUAGGGAAGAACAUAUGUGUAAGUAACUGUGCACAUCUUGACGGUACCUAAUCAGAAAGCCACGGCUAACUACGUG
rnacentral:rRNA from 1 species